GAAUCUGGCUUCAGGUUCGGGACAACAGUUGGAAACGGCUGCUAAUACCGGAUGUGCCUAAGGGUGAAAGAUUUAUCACCUGAAGAUGAGCUCGCGUCUGAUUAGCUAGUAGGUGUGGUAAGAGCGCACCUAGGCGACGAUCAGUAGCUGGUCUGAGAGGAUGAUCAGCCACACUGGGACUGAGACACGGCCCAGACUCCUACGGGAGGCAGCAGUGGGGAAUUUUCCGCAAUGGGCGAAAGCCUGACGGAGCAAUACCGCGUGAGGGAGGAAGGCUCUUGGGUUGUAAACCUCUUUUCUCAGGGAAGAAUGAUGACGGUACCUGAGGAAUAAGCAUCGGCUAACUCCGUGCCAGCAGCCGCGGUAAUACGGAGGAUGCAAGCGUUAUCCGGAAUGAUUGGGCGUAAAGCGUCCGCAGGUGGCAAUGUAAGUCUGCUGUCAAAGCGUCUGGCUCAACCAGAUAAAGGCAGUGGAAACUACAUAGCUAGAGUAAGGUAGGGGUAGAGGGAAUUCCUGGUGUAGCGGUGAAAUGCGUAGAGAUCAGGAAGAACACCGGUGGCGAAAGCGCUCUGCGGGACCUUAACUGACACUGAGGGACGAAAGCUAGGGGAGCG
rnacentral:rRNA from 1 species